rnacentral:piRNA from 1 species
UGCCAGCUUUGAUUUGCCUCCC